rnacentral:rRNA from 1 species
UACGUCGGGGGCAAGCGUUGUUCGGAAUUACUGGGCGUAAAGGGCGCGUAGGCGGCACGGCAAGUCAGGAGUGAAAGCCCUGGGCUCAACCCGGGAACUGCUUUUGAAACUGCCGAGCUAGAGUGCGGAAGGGGCAACUGGAAUUCCCAGUGUAGCGGUGAAAUGCGUAGAUAUUGGGAAGAACACCUGAGGCGAAGGCGGGUUGCUGGGCCGACACUGACGCUGAUGCGCGAAAGCCAGGGGAGCGAACGGG